rnacentral:rRNA from 1 species
AUUGAACGCUGGCGGCAUGCUUUACACAUGCAAGUCGAACGGCAGCACGAAAGAGCUUGCCCUUUUGGUGGCGCGUGGCGAACGGGUGUGUAAUGCAUCGGAACGUACCGAGUAAUGGGGGAUAACUGUCCGGAAGGAUAGCUAUUACCGCAUACGCUUUGAGAAGGUAAGUGGGGGCUCUUCGGACCCCACGUUAUUCUAUCGGCCGAUGUCUGAUUAGCUAGUUGGUGGGGUAAAGGCCUACCAAGGCGACGAUCAGUAGCGGGUCUGAGAGGAUGAUCCGCCACACUGGGACUGAGACACGGCCCAGACUCCUACGGGAGGCAGCAGUGGGGAAUUUUGGACAAUGGGCGCAAGCCUGAUCCAGCCAUGCCGCGUGUCUGAAGAAGGCCUUCGGGUUGUAAAGGACUUUUGUUAGGGAAGAAAAGGAUAGUGUUAAUACCAUUAUCUGCUGACGGUACCUAAAGAAUAAGCACCGGCUAACUACGUG